AGGAAGAGGCGGGCUUUUCCGACCCCCACGCCCCUGGGAUGGUAAAGCUGCAGCCCACCUCGUCCUGGGGCAGAGUCUCCUUGCCUGCCUGCUUGCAUCGCUCACCAGCGUCCUAUCCUAACACCUCUGUUUCGUGCCCAUCACUUUGUCUCUCGCUGAAUUCCUUCUGCGUGGAGACAUAGAGAACCUCAACCUCAGUGAGUCCAGACGCAGGAGGAGAGCGUUUCCCAGACUCCUUGCCCCUGAGUGAGGAUACGUGCCUGGUUCUGGCCAAGGGGCUGUGGCUGAUACAGCAGGUGUCACUCUGAGUCAAAGCAAAGGAUGUGCAGACAUGAAGUCUCCACGCUCUCUCUUCUUCUCCCCUUGUCUCAAGGUGUCAGAGGCACCAGCUUAUGAGGGAUGUAUGAUUGUCAGCACCUCCACUUUACAGAAGAGGACACCUGGGUAUGAUGAUAAGCUGCCCAAGGUCCCAUAUCUGGUGCUUCAUAAUCCUGGCAAAGCCACUAAGCUGAGCAGAGCUGCAGAAAUUCCCUGGCUUUCCUGCUGGAAGAUGUCGAUCAAUGAGGGCGCUCGCGGCCUUUGAUGUCAGGCAUCCACGCCCGCUUCUGUAAAGACUCUCGGCUCCACAAGAGAACGGGAAGUCACUGUGAAGAAAGAGGCAGGCGAUGUAACCGGAAAAGCGCGGGUUUGAUGUCAAACAGACCUGCGUGGUUCCACCGCUUUCCGACUGUGUGACACCUCCCUCCCCCACCCCCGGCCCAGUUGCUCUCUGAACCCAAGUCUUGGAAAAUGGAACCAAUAAUACCUGUUCUUCAAGACUGUUCCUGCUGGAAGCUCCAAGAUUCAUCUGAAGGCGUGAUCACAUCCUCAAUGUUGAGUGGACUAUGAACCGGCUGCCAGAGACAGGGUUCCAAGCCGGGCCAGGCCCAUCCCAAUGCCCACCCGAAAAGACGGGACAGAGGAAAGAAAGAAACAAAAUCCUGGGGCUCCAUUGGCUUUCUUUUUGACUCCAGCUGAAGUUGCUGCAUAGUGUGGCCUUGCCAGUCCUCGCCUUGAAAAGGCUGGAAGCGACUGCCGUGAUGGAUCAUCUAAUCCCACAGCCUCAUUCUGCAGAGGACCCCGAGCCUCGACUUGGCCAAGGUCACACAGCUGGGCCACACCCAUGGCGUAUGGUUUUCACAUGGAAUCGGAGCUGCAGUUGCCGGCCUAUGCCACAGCCACAGCAAGGUAGGAUCUGAGCCAAGUCUUUGACCUACACCACAUCUCACGGCAAUUCCAGAUCCCUGGACCCACUGAGUGAGGCCAGGGAUUGAACACGCACCCUUAUGGAUACUAGUUGGAUCACAACGGAACUCCCUGAAAAAUCAAGGUCUUUAAAGCAAUUCAUCAACCCCACCAACAUCUUGGCAUAAGAAAAUUGAUUCUGUAAGUCAAAAGAACUUAUAACAUGGUAUAUUGGGAGGAUGGCAGGGCUUGGUAAGUGGUAGCAACGCAGCUGGUAGAUUUUUCUUUGUUGUGUCCUUGUCCUUACGCUCUUUUAGCCACAUUUUCAUUCAGGAUUCUUGGGUUGGAAGCAACAGAAAUGGACUCUUUUGGCCUUAAGCAAAAAGAAAAUUUGUUGAAAGGGCAUGGAGGAGUUCAUAGGAUUGACUAGAAGUUUGGAGAAGUAGGCUCAGGAGUCAAGGCAUUUAUAGAGGAGGGUAGGGUAGAGAGGUGAUAAAAAUAAUGCAACGGUCUUAUUUGGAAAUUGUACUGGAAUGUAAGAGUUUCAUCUUUCCUCCUCCCUCCCUCUCUCUCUCUUUCUGCCACUUCAUUCGAGAUUCCAAUUUCAGCGAAGGAGCAUCCAAUUGGCCUGUCUUGGUCAGAUUCCCACCACCCCCAUGGUUAGGGGAACACAGCAUAUUCGAAAUGGCAUUCCCACGAGGUACAUUCCAUGGAAAAGUAAUACCACAAAGAAAAUAUGGACACAGUUAUCAAAGGAAGAUAAAACAGGUGCUGGGUAGCCAACAAUAGCCUAUUUCCACUAUAUCCUUUAAAAAAAAUCCCAGUAACUCUUCUAUGAUUACUGAUUUUUCAGGAGAGAAAUUUAACGAUGGAAGAGUGUAUACAUAGUGAUGAAAAGAAUGGGAGGAUUUAUAAGAUACAAGUCAUUUUCUUUGAGUUGUGGGUCAAUGGUUGGGUCCAUUUUUCUUCUGUUGUUUUUUCCUAUAGAGCACAUUUAUAACCUUUUAAAAGUAAACUAUGUUUUCUACUUUAAGAUGAGUGAAAUGAGGGGGGAGUGUCCUUUUGACUGGGGACAUAGUCACUAGUUACUCUAUGUUAAUAACAGAAGCAUACAUUCCUCUCGAGGGGCAACAGUGUUCUUUUACAUUAAACUCUCAACAGAAACCAAAAGAACCACCACCAAAAAAAUCCCACCCAGUUUGGAAAGGACUUGUGCUUGUGGGUCGGGGGCAGAAGGAAGCAAUUUCCCUCCAUUUUCUGCCUGAGCAGGCCUUUUGCACUUUGAUAUUCGUUUCACUAAUAAGGUGUUUCAUUAUUUCUCCCACAAAAAGAGCUGGUGCUGUUAUGAGAUGCUGUUGAAGACUCUGGUUUGCCCAGAUGUGCCGCAGUGAAAACAGCCUUUCUCUGACGUGCAUGACUUGUGAGGAUGAUGGGACCUGUGGGAAGAGGGGAUCCUUUUUCAGAGUUUGGAAAGAGAGACAAAAUAACGCCAUCUGCCCUGCAUGGCUGACAGAAACACAUUCUUCCCUAAUCAGUGGGUCACUCACUUCCGCACUAUGUUGCAGGGAAGCAUCAUCUGAUUCCAAGCCUAAGGCUGGGUCAUCCGCGGCACUGACUUCUCCCGACCCUUCUCCGAGCUUCCUGUGCCAGUUUUCAUCAUCAAAUUUCUCUGCUCCCUUAGACCAGCGGAAAAGAAGUUAUGAGCUCUCUCCAUCAUUCGCCGGUCUCUUCGGCCCUUCCUCCUUUGAAGUUUUCUUAUUCGGGGUCUUUUUUCGCUUCUUCUCCAUGUUUCAUCCUCUCUCACUGUAACCUUUUUAUCUCUGGAGAGUUCUCUCUGUGCCUCUGGGCCCUUCUCUUUCUAGUUGGUUCUCAGAACCCAUUCUGGGAUUCUAUUUCAGUCCAUCCGUCUCUCCAACAGACCACGGGUGAAACCAGGGCCGGUAAUCAGUCCCAGCUGCUGGAGGCGUCCGCUCUGGGUCGGCCCCACGUUUGUGGGCUGAUGUUUUGCUUCCCAUAAUGCUCUGGGAGUACUGCUGCUCAGAGCUUGGCUUGUGCUUUUUCUUCUCCUGCCAAGGGGCCCUGCUUCCAAAACCCAGAUUAGAAAACAUGG
rnacentral:lncRNA from 1 species